GAUCUCUUAGCUCAGCGGUAGAGCAUCUGAUUCCAGAAAAACGGAGUCUCCAGAAGGUCGUCCGUUCAAUCCGGGCAGAGAUCA